AGCGCGGCAGUCACAGGCGUGCACCACCACACCCAGCUUAAUCCACCUCUUCCGGGCUCCGGCUGAGCGACCCUGCGCUAACUAGUCAACUUCUCUGAGCCACAAUUUCCCCAUCUGGAAGACGAUGCCUCCCCUGUGGGAUUGUUAUGUUUCAGCGUCUGUGUGGGGCGUGGGACAGUCCCCUGGACAGGCAUCAGAGGCCCAAGUAUCCCCAAGAGGUGGACGUGGACUGAGACGUUUGCCGUUCUCUGGGCCCGCAGAGCAGAGCCCAGGCUGCAGCAGGUCCUCGUGCAUACUGGAGGGGCAGGCACUGCCCGAGGGACACCCCCCACCUCAAGGCCUUUCCCGGAGCUGAGCAGAUUUGGACACCAUGCUCUGGAGCCUCAGAACUGAGAGCCAAAUAAACCUCCUCUCUCUAUAAGGUUCCCGGCCUCAAACACUACGUUAUAACAACAUAAAAUGUAGCACACAGAUCUUAUCAAAUGUCACCUGUCAUCCCACUAAUGCUGUUCUGGGGCCAGGAUCAAAACCAGA